rnacentral:tRNA from 1 species
GCCGACGUGGCCCAAUUGGCAGAGGCGCCAGGUUUAGGUCCUGGAUGUUGAGGGUUCGAGUCCCUCCGUCGGCAC